rnacentral:rRNA from 1 species
AUACGUAGGUGACAAGCGUUAUCCGGAUUUACUGGGCGUAAAGGGCGUGUAGGCGGUCUUGCAAGUCAGAAGUGAAAUUCCUGAGCUCAACUCGGGCGCUGCUUCUGAAACUGCAGGACUUGAGUGCUGGAGGGGAUAGCGGAAUUCCUAGUGGAGCGGUAAAAUGCGCAGAUAUUAGGAAGAACACCGGUGGCGAAGGCGGCUAUCUGGACAGUAACUGACGCUGAGGCGCGAAUGCGUGGGGAGCAAACAGGAUUAGAUGCCCUGGUAGUCCACGCCGUAAACGAUGAAUACUAGGUGUAGGGGGUAUCGACUCCCUCUGUGCCGCAGUUAACACAAUAAGUAUUCCGCCUGGGGAGUACGGCCGCAAGGUUGAAACUCAAAUGAAUUGACGGGG